AGUAACGCGUGGGGAACCUACCCUAUACAGGGGGAGUAACAGCUGGAAACGGCUGCUAAUACCGCAUAAGCGCACAGAAUCGCAUGAUUCAGUGUGAAAAGCCCUGGCAGUAUAGGGUGGUCCCGCGUCUGAUUAGCUGGUUGGUGAGGUAACGGCUCACCAAGGCGACGAUCAGUAGCCGGCUUGAGAGAGUGAACGGCCACAUUGGGACUGAGACACGGCCCAA
rnacentral:rRNA from 1 species